CUCACCUGGUGGAUACUCAAUAAGAAUGAGUUCUCUUUCUCAGUUCCUGUCUACAGAGCUACAGACACUUGGCUUAAAAACCUUUGAUUACGGCCAGUUGACUGGUCUAGCUAACAUCAGCAGAGGGGUGUGCUUUCCCUAGUAUGGAAGAACAGAGGUAAAGGUUUUCCAAGAUUUGAAGCAGUCAUACAGGCAAAAUAGGAGCCUAAAGACUUCUGGGGAGGUUUGGAAUGAGAUCCCGUUCUGGUUUCAGAAACGCCAGCGCCAUCUCUUGGAGGAGCAUGAAAUUGGCCCAUGGGCGAAAGAGGCCUCACUGGGGCCCCAGGCAAUGGGUCAUUUUGGGGCGCUGCAGAACAUCUGUGCUUUCCCUGUGCCCCACCACCUCCCCAGCUCCCGAGCUGCAGCCAUCUCUGCUGCACCUGCUGUCAGAAGGCAGCUCCUUGGGGCUCCUGCUACAGCUGCUACACCUGUGCAGAGAGCUUAGGCGGAGCAGAGAACCUUCUAACUGCAGCAGUCCUGACAAAGCACUUUGUGCACCCCUCCGGGACGUAACAAGGGCACCAAACUGGGAACAAAAAUAAAGUCUUCACUGAGAUUUGGUGAUUUUACCACAUACAAGGCCUGAAAGAUGACUGAAGACAAGAAAAGAAGAUAAAUCUCUUGCCAGCAGGAGUAAGAUUGUACGGGAGUCUGAGUGUACAUCAGGGCAAGCCAAGAGACAGGGAGAAACAGAGAGAAAAGGUUCAUGCAAUUAUGAAUAUGACCUGAAGGGUGCUUUGGAAUUAGAUUACAACAGGAGCAGAGUUAAUGCCAUUUUGAGACAAUUUAAGAAUUAUGUAUUUGAAGGAACUCAGUAUUACCAUGUUAUCCAGAAUCAUCCCAGUCGCUCAUAAGACUUGCUAAUAACCUGGUUUGGGACUGGAGGGUUGAGGGAUCUAACUGAAAACAUCUGUUAAAGUUGAAUAUGAUAAUCACAUCUUGUUUUUAUGAUUUUGCUCAUGAAACAGUCUUGAAAGAGCGAGCUGAGGGAUUAUCCAAGUAAAUGUGUAUUUUUAUGCAGAAUGUAGGUGUGGCUUCGCUUUGCAUUCCAACAUACAAAUGACUGAUCUUUUCCAUUAGCACAGUGUGGUUCGGCCUAGCUGCCAGCUUUUAUGAUUGUAUUUAUUUAUUUUCCCUAAGGAGAUACAGGCACUUUGGGGGCCUUCCCAGGCUGCUGCAAAAUGAUGGAUGGUUGGGCUCCGACUAAUCCAAGUGACAUGGGGUGUCAGGAGCAUUGGUAAUCGUAUCCUGCCGACUUCAGAGACCACUGCCAAAACAUCCACAGCACGGAGGUUUGGCAACUUCACAUCAUCACAGCGAAAGGAUUACAAACUGAAAAAAAGAAGCUCUGAAACAGCUAUGAAAAGGGCCAAUUCAGAAACCAAUUCAGCUACGACGUUUAGGCUAGCGCCUUCCAACAGUCACCUCGGAUUUCACCUCUUGAGUUGCCUUCACCUAGAUCAAGGUUGGCAGCAUUUGUGAUGCACAGAAAAGAUGCCCAGGGAAAUUGACUCUAGGUUAUAUAAGCAAACAAUGUCUUCA
rnacentral:lncRNA from 13 species